AUUGAACGCUGGCGGCAUGCUUUACACAUGCUAGUCGGCUGAGUGGCGAACGGGUGAGUAAUAUAUUGGAACGUACCGAGUAAUGGGGGAUAACCAAUCGAAAGAUUGGCUAAUACCGCAUAAUAUUCGAGCGGCCAAUAUCUGAUUAGCUAGUUGGUGGGGGAAAGGCCUACCAAGGCGACGAUAAGUAGCGGGUCUGAGAGGAUGAUCCGCCAUCCUGGGAGGUAUAAACAGCCAAGACUCAGACGGGAGGCAGCAGUGGGGAAUUUGGAAAAAUGGGGGCAAGCCUGAGCCAGACAUGCCGCGUGUCUGAAGAAGGCCGUCGGGUUGUAAAUGACUGUUGGUAUGGAAGCGGUACCUAAAGAAGAAGCACCGGCUAACUACGUGCCAGCAGCCGCGGUAAUAC
rnacentral:rRNA from 1 species